rnacentral:rRNA from 1 species
GACGAACGCUGGCGGCGUGCUUAACACAUGCAAGUCGAACGGUGAAGCGCCUUCCUUUUUGGUGGGUGUGGAUGAGUGGCGAACGGGUGAGUAACACGUCAGUAACCUGCCCCCUUCUUCUGGAUAACCGCAUGAAAGUGUGGCUAAUACGGGAUAUUCUGGUUCUGUCGCAUGAUGGGUCUGGGAAAGAUAUUGUUUCGGUGGGGGAUGUGCUCGCGGCCUAUCAGCUUGUUGGUGGGGUGAUGGCCUACCAAGGCGGUGACGGGUAGCCGGCCUGCGAGGGUGGACGGUCACACUGGGACUGAGACACGGCCCAGACUCCUACGGGAGGCAGCAGUGGGGAAUAUUGCACAAUGGGCGCAAGCCUGAUGCAGCGACGCCGCGUGAGGGAUGGAGGCCUGCGGGUUGUGAACCUCUUUCGCCAGUGAAGCAGGCCUGCCUCGUUUGUGGGUGGGUUGACGGUAGCUGGAGAAGAAGCGCCGGCUAACUACGUG